GAUGAAGAACGUAGCGAAAUGCGAUACUUGGUGUGAAUUGCAGAAUCCCGUGAACCAUCGAGUCUUUGAACGCAAGUUGCGCCCGAAGCCAUUAGGCCGAGGCACGCCUGCCUGGGCGUCACACGUCGUUGCCCCCCCAUCUACUCCUUCGGGAUUGCGGGGGGCGGAUGAUGGCCUCCCGUGCGCCACGCCGCGCGGUUGGCAUAAAUGCCAAGUCCUCGGCGACGCACGCCACGACAAUCGGUGGUUGCGAAACCUCGGUUGCCCGUCGUGUGCGGUCGUCGCGCAUCGAGGGCUCGAAAAAAUUGCCGGGUUCCGGCUCGGCUUUCAACGCGACCCCAGGUCAGGCGGGGUUACCCGCUGAAUUUAAGCAUAUCAAUAAGCGGAGGA
rnacentral:misc_RNA from 1 species